GGCGUUUGUCGAUAUAUGGAACAAAGAUUUGAAACAAAGAUUUGAUUGUCCAAUGUCUGUGUAUGUUGAUGUGUGUAUGAGUGUGUGUCUAGGCUGACGUAAGUGGUCUAGUAUAUCCAACUAACGAUCCACUCUAUAAUAAAACCUAUCCCACAGCUUAGACCAGAGCUGUUCAUCCCUAACGUCUAGUGUGAGGCUAGAAGACGGCCAGAAGACCAUAUUAACAUAACACAAACGAUGUUUCACAAAAUUCUAGUCUUGGUUUUCUUGAAUAUUUUCCUGACUGGCGGAGACGCUAACCUCUACUAUUAUUACUCGACUCCUC
rnacentral:sRNA from 1 species